rnacentral:lncRNA from 1 species
CCCUGUUCUAAAACUCGGCCGCCUAGCCAAUUAGGCGACCGAUUAGGCGCUCGACGGAGAGUAACCGCCGCGAUUUUGGUCUACUCAGUUAAGCUAGUCGGAAAUCCGAACAAUUACUUAAUAAUCCGAUUAAUCGCCUAAAAGGCGGACCAAAACCGAAAAUAUUAGACUUUAUUUAAAAAUUUUGGGCCAGAAAAACA